rnacentral:rRNA from 1 species
AUGGACGCCGCUACCACGGCGACGGCGGAGGAGGAGGUCACCCGUUUAGAAGAUCUCCCGGAGAGCUGCGUGGCACACGUGCUGGCGCUCACCUCCCCGCGCGAUGCUUGCCGCUUCGCCGCCGUGUCCCCGUCCUUCCGCGAGGCCGCCGAGUCCGACGCCGUCUGGGAUCGCUUCCUCCCGCCCGACUGCCGUGCCAUCCUCCUGCGCUGCUGCUCUGGCCGCCCACCGCCGCUGUCGUCCAAGAAGGACGCCUACCUCCGGCUUUCUGACGGCGCCGUCCUGGUCGAUGACGGCGACACGGCGGUGUGGUUGGCGAGGGGAAGCGGCGCCAAGUGCGUGGCGCUGUCAGCGAGGAAGCUGAGCCUGCCGUGGGACGACGGCGAGUUCAGCUGGAGAUGGACGGCUCACCCUCGCUCCAGGUUCGCGGAGGUGGCGCUACUAGUGCACUGCACCAGCCUGGACAUCUACGGCCGGCUGCCGGCCGCUGCGCUGACACCGGGGACCGACUACGCCGCCUACUUGGUAUUUGACGUGGCCGACGAAGGCCACCGCGGCCUGAGCUUCCCGGACCAGGAGACCACAGUGGCAGUUGGAGGUCGUGCGGCGUCGCGCCAUGCUGUGUGCCUUCGCCCCGACGACGACGAGGCGUGCAAGUUCAGGGGCGUGGCUCGUGCGGACGGCGACGACGGAGUGAGGCGGCCGGCGCGGCGCGAAGACCGGUGGUGGGAAAUGGAGAUGGGACGGGUACGUAUCGAUGAAGCCAUGGCCGUGAAGGAGGAAGAGGUGAUGGUGACCUUCGAGGUGUUGGAGUGGUACCCCAAGCGCGGGCUUAUUGUCGAGGCCGUCGAAUUUAGGCCAGUUUGA